rnacentral:rRNA from 1 species
UACGUAGGGCGCAAGCGUUAUCCGGAAUUAUUGGGCGUAAAGAGCUCGUAGGCGGUUUGUCGCGUCUGCCGUGAAAGUCCGGGGCUCAACUCCGGAUCUGCGGUGGGUACGGGCAGACUAGAGUGAUGUAGGGGAGACUGGAAUUCCUGGUGUAGCGGUGAAAUGCGCAGAUAUCAGGAGGAACACCGGUGGCGAAGGCGGAUCUCUGGGCCAGUAUUGACGCUGAGGAGCGAAAGCGUGGGUAGCAAACAGG